rnacentral:rRNA from 1 species
GUCCAGACUCCUACGGGAGGCAGCAGUGGGGAAUAUUGCACAAUGGGCGAAAGCCUGAUGCAGCAACGCCGCGUGAAGGAAGAAGGGUUUCGGCUCGUAAACUUCUAUCAACAGGGACGAAAGAAAUGACGGUACCUGAAUAAGAAGCACCGGCUAACUCCGUGCCAGCAGCCGCGGUAAUACGGAGGGGGCAAGCGUUGUCCGGAAUCAUUGGGCGUAAAGAGUUCGUAGGCGGUAUGUUAAGUCUGGUGUUAAAUGCAGAAGCUCAACUUCUGUUCGGCACUGGAUACUGGCAAACUAGAAUGCGGUAGAGGUAAAGGGAAUUCCUGGUGUAGCGGUGAAAUGCUUAGAUAUCAGGAGGAACAUCGGUGGCGUAAGCGCUUUACUGGGCCGUAAUUGACGCUGAGGAACGAAAGCAAGGGUAGCAAAUGGGAUUAGAUACCCCUGUA